UAGGGAAUCUUCCACAAUGGACGCAAGUCUGAUGGAGCAACGCCGCGUGAGUGAAGAAGGUUUUCGGAUCGUAAAGCUCUGUUGUUGGUGAAGAAGGAUAGAGGCAGUAACUGGUCUUUAUUUGACGGUAAUCAACCAGAAAGUCACGGCUAACUACGUGCCAGCAGCCGCGGUAAUACGUAGGUGGCAAGCGUUGUCCGGAUUUAUUGGGCGUAAAGCGAGCGCAGGCGGAAUGAUAAGUCUGAUGUGAAAGCCAACGGCUCAACCGUGGAACUGCAUCGGAAACUGUCAUUCUUGAGUGCAGAAGAGGAGAGUGGAAUUACAUGUGUAGCGGUGGAAUGCGUAGAUAUAUGGAAGAACACCAGUGGCGAAGGCGGCGCUCUGGUCUGCAACUGACGCUGAGGCUCGAAAGCAUGGGUAGCGAACAGG
rnacentral:rRNA from 1 species